CGCGCUGUGCUUCCGCGAAGAACUCAAGGGUAUCUCGGCCGAAAGCCGAAGAUUGGUGUCGCUGUGCGCCCUCGAAGACCAUGGAGUCCUGGAUGGCGAGGAGGUCAACGUAACUAAGGUCAUGGAACUUCUGCGAACAAAGAUUGAUGCAGCAGAGGAUUCAGUAGCAAAAGAGGUCUUAUCUACAGCCCUUUCCAACUUGUCUGAGGAACCCCUAGAAGCUGACCUAUUACAUUUCAUGGAGCUCAAGAAGUCUCUUAUGAACUCCUGC